GCAGGCGAGAAUACUCCACAAUGCGCGUAAGCGUGAUGGGGGGAAUCUGAGUGGUUCACUUUGUGAACCUUUUGCCAAGUAUAGCAAGCUUGGCGAAUAAGUGCUGGGCAAGACCGGUGGCAGCCGCCACGGUAAUACCGGCAGCACAAGUGGUGUCCACGAUUAUUGGGCUUAAAGCGCCCGUAGCCGGCCGAUGCCGUCUCGCGUGAAAUAUUGGCGCUUAACGUCAAUGCGUGCGCGAGAUACCCAUCGGCUAGGGAGCGGGUGAGGUCAGGAGUACUUAUGGGGGAGGGGUUAAAUCCUGUAAUCCUAUAAGGACUAACGGUGGCGAAGGCGCCUGACUAGAACGCAUCCGACGGUGAGGGGCGAAGGCUAGGAGAACGAAUCGGAUUAGAUACCCCCGUAGUCC
rnacentral:rRNA from 1 species